rnacentral:lncRNA from 1 species
GCUCUCUCAGAGAUCCAGGUCCGGGAGAUGACAGUGGCUCCCAGAAAGCCCAGGAUUCAAUCGCUGAGAGAGUGCUUAGGCCCGAAUGCCGGCCCAAAUCGUUCUACUCACCGUGUCGGAGGCCGAGGCCGAGGCCGAGAGCGAUGAGAGUGCAGGGAAGUGGGGAAGAGGGGGUGGCCGCCAGGCUCCUCCGCUUCCCUGGGUCCACGGCGGAUCCCUCCCGCUUGUCAGGAGGCGGCCAGCGGGGGCAGGAGAGGAAGGGACGGGCCGAGCGGGUCGGGGCUUGCCGUUUGACUGGAAUUGCCAGAAUGGCGGACCGAGCCCCACGACAACCUACCUCCCUGGGCUCCUCGCCGCAGCGCUGCGGCUCGCCUCCCUCUGCUCCUCCUCCUCCGCCGGAUCGCGGCGAGCGGAUCGAGGACUGCCUAGCGCCCCUCUGCCCACCGGUGGUUGGAGGCCGCGGCGGCUGCGCGUUGAGUCGUUUCCUGCCGGUUGACCUGAGCCUACUUCGCAGUAGCAGGACCGCUGCUGUGGAGCUGGUCGCAGGCGGUGUGUGCCGGUCGCCUAGUCAGGAGAACUAGUCCUCGACUCACGGUGAGGGAAUGGACCGACACGGGUAUUGUACCGCUGAGGGAAAGGAGCGGGACUCCGGACCUCCAGGAGGUAGGGAGUGAGGCCAGUAGGACCGGCGCGCCUCCGGGGGGAUUCCUCCCGGGCGUUGAGUUGCCAACCUGGGACCCGAGGAAGAUCGGCGUGGUGGUGUGCUUUUUGUUGUUGUUAACCCUCCUCGGAUUUCUCGAAUUUCACACCACUGUCCAUAUGCGAUGAUGUUUGUUUGCCCUUGACGCACUUACUCAUGGAUGGUACUUCUUCAGCCUCGUUAGACAGCCUGGUGAUGGAGGAUGAAGAAACCAUGUGCUUUUCAUUCAGUUCUGGACUUAGUCUCCCUUUUCUUCCUUCAGCAAGUUAUUUUUGUUAGUUCCUUAUCAAAAAGUGUACAUAAAAAUUAGGCAACUCCAAACAUGCCUCCAGGGUUAAUGUGUGAAAUAAUAAGAUAAUAUAUGUAAAGUGGAAUUAGCUCCUAGGCAUAGGGAAAGUGCAGAAUAUUGCCGUGUUGUCAUUUACAGUUCUGUUGAUGUCGAUAACGUUUGUGGGUGUAAUUGGUAGUGUUCUGUCCCUCCAAGGAGUUAAUAAAACAAAGCAAACAUAAAAAAAAAAAAAAAAAAAAAAAA